CCUACGGGGGGCAGCAGUGAGGAAUAUUGGGCAAUGGACGAGAGUCUGAACCAGCAAAGUAGCGUGAAGGAUGACUGCCCUAUGGGUUGUAAACUUCUUUUAUAUGGGAAUAAAAUGUUCCACGUGUGGGAUUUUGUAUGUACCAUCUGAGUAAGGAUAGGCUAACUCCGUGCCAGCAGCCGCGGUAAUACGGAGGAUCCGAGCGUUAUCCGGAUUGAUUGGGUUUAAAGGGCGCGUAUGUGGAUUGUUAAGUCACUUGUGAAAGUUUGCGGCUCAACCGUAAAAUUGCAGUUGAAACUGGCAGUCUUGAGUACAGUAGAGGUGGGCGGAAUUCGUGGUGUAGCGGUGAAAUGCUUAGAUAUCACGAAGAACUCCGAUUGCGAAGGCAGCUCACUGGACUGCAACUGACACUGAGGCUCGAAAGUGUGGGUAUCAAACAGGAUUAGAUACCCCAGUAGUC
rnacentral:rRNA from 1 species